rnacentral:lncRNA from 1 species
UUUUUAUUGGGUAUACAGUGUACUGAUCACACAGAAGAAUAAGAAAGAGCAUGUCAGAAGGCAUAACUCACAAGCAUCUUUGCCUUUUUUUUUUCCUUAUCAAAUCCCCCAAUAACUUUUUAGCUAUUUAUCAUUUGAUUGUUUACGAGGAGAUGAAAAAAAUGGAAAUUAUUGCUGCGGAAACUGCCUUCUUGAACAGAUCUGCAAUGUCUCUUCGUAAUCAGAUUUUUGAAUGAACUCCUAGUCUGUCAAGUGUAGUCCUGAUACCUUGCAAUCCUA